ACAAUUAGCUGUUGGGACACUAGAUGUCUUAGUAGCGAAGCUAACGCGUGAAAUUGUCCGCCUGGGGAGUACGGUCGCAAGAUUAAAACUCAAAGGAAUUGACGGGGACCCGCACAAGCGGUGGAUGAUGUGGAUUAAUUCGAUGCAACGCGAAGAACCUUACCUGGUCUUGACAUGUACGGAAUCUCUUAGAGAUAGGAGAGUGCCUUCGGGAACCGUAACACAGGUGCUGCAUGGCUGUCGUCAGCUCGUGUCGUGAGAUGUUGGGUUAAGUCCCGCAACGAGCGCAACCCUUGUCAUUAGUUGCCAUCAUUAAGUUGGGCACUCUAAUGAGACUGCCGGUGACAAACCGGAGGAAGGUGGGGAUGACGUCAAGUCCUCAUGGCCCUUAUGACCAGGGCUUCACACGUCAUACAAUGGUCGGUACAGAGGGUAGCGAAGCCGCGAGGUGAAGCCAAUCUCAGAAAGCCGAUCGUAGUCCGGAUUGCACUCUGCAACUCGAGUGCAUGAAGUCGGAAUCGCUAGUAAUCGCAGGUCAGCAUACUGCGGUGAAUACGUUCCCGGGUCU
rnacentral:rRNA from 1 species